CGUGUACCCUGCCGUCUGCGGAUACGACACUACCAAUCACAAAUUCACUACCUACAGCAACAAGUGCGAGUUUGACUGCGCCGCCAGAUUCUACGAAUACUUCUUCGGUACCAAAACACUAAAAAUGGUCAGAGAAGAUGACUGCAAUGAAACUGAUAAAACUGGGAAGAUAUUAAAUUAACGACCAUUGUCAACAGUGUAUUACGAGAAUGUUAAAACUUAAAUAAUUUAUUAAAUAAAUGUAAAUAUCUUCUG
rnacentral:lncRNA from 1 species